GAACACCGAUAAGUUGAACGCAUAUGGCGCAUCGGACGUUUCAACCCGACCGAUGCACACAUCCUUGAGU
rnacentral:rRNA from 2 species